UACGAAGGGGGCUAGCGUUGCUCGGAAUCACUGGGCGUAAAGGGCGCGUAGGCGGCCCGCUAAGUCGAACGUGAAAUCCCCAGGCUCAACCUGGGAACUGCGUCCGAUACUGGCAGGCUUGAAUCCGGGAGAGGGAUGUGGAAUUCCAGGUGUAGCGGUGAAAUGCGUAGAUAUCUGGAGGAACACCGGUGGCGAAGGCGGCAUCCUGGACCGGUAUUGACGCUGAGGCGCGAAAGCUAGGGGAGCAAACGGG
rnacentral:rRNA from 1 species